UGUUUAUUGGCGAGACUGAGUGUAGA
rnacentral:piRNA from 1 species